UCCAGACUCAAUUCUGACGGUGGUCGGG
rnacentral:piRNA from 1 species